UACAGAGGGGGCGAGCGUUAAUCGGAAUUACUGGGCGUAAAGCGUGCGCAGGCGGUCAUGUAAGUCGGGUGUGAAAGCCCCGGGCUCAACCUGGGAAUUGCAUUCGAGACUGCAUGGCUAGGGUGCGGAAGAGGGAAGCGGAAUUUCCGGUGUAGCGGUGAAAUGCGUAGAUAUCGGAAGGAACACCAGUGGCGAAAGCGGCUUCCUGGUCCAGCACCGACGUUCAGGCGCGAAAGCGUGGGGAGCAAACAGG
rnacentral:rRNA from 1 species